rnacentral:misc_RNA from 1 species
UGUUGGGUCACCUUGGUUGACUCUGCCUAAAGCUUUUGACUUGAAAAAAGACUUGAGCAAUGGGCUGGCCUUAGGGGCCCCUAGUAUGUUUAUCAUACUAACCCCAAAGGUUUUUUCUACUAUGUCUAUGAAUUGAUGUAUGAAAAAAAAGUUAUUUGUUAACUUGAAGGCUUCUGUAAAAAGAGUCUUUAAAAACAACUCUUGGCAAUGGAUCUCUUGGUUCUCGCAUCGAUGAAGAGCGUAGCAAAGUGCGAUAAUUAUUGCGACUUGCAUUCAUAGUGAAUCAUCGAGUUCUUGAACGCAUCUUGCGCCUAGUAGUCAAUCUACUAGGCACAGUUGUUUCAGUAUCUGCAUCCACCAAUCAACUUAACCUUUUGUGUUGAGUUGGAACUGGGCUUCUAGUUGAUGGCAUUUAGUUGCUGUCAUGGCCUUAAAUCAAUGUCCUAGGUGUUAGAACAUCUAACACCGGAUGGAAACUUUAGAGCGCUUUAAGAGCAGCUUGGUUAGUGAGUUCAAUAAUUCCAAGCAUUAAGUCUUUUAAUGAACUAGCUUUUCUAUCUAU